GCGGCUCGCUGCCGCUCUCGGCCACGGCCCCGCCAGCUUGGCGUCCCCCUUCCUGCACAGGUGAGAGCUUGCGCAGAUGGCGAUGCAGUCACACUGACCCCCAACAGGGCUUUGGCCCUGCUGCUCAGCAAAGAAUAAACCAGUGCACCCUGCUUGUUAUAAGAAGGGGUCGCCCUGAGCUUCUGAGGCUGGAGAUUCCCAGGCACAGGGAAGGUGGCUCCCAUUGGGUUGAUCUCCCACGCCCUUGCUGCUCAGAAGUGCGAUUCCUGGACCAGGGCCGUCAGCAUGGCCCGGGAGCUAGUUGGAAAUGCAGAAUCCCAGGCCCACCUCGACCUCGGAGUCCGCAUCUGCACUUUGAAAGGACGCCCAGGUGCUUCUGGGCAGUGGCGCAGGGGAACGGUGCUGGGCCGGGUCCUCUUUCCCAGAGCCACCUUCCUAGGUUACCAGACCAAGGGCAUGUUAUCAACAAUCCCACCACCUAAAAUGCAGCCAGCAAGCACUGCAGCCCUUCUUGCUUCCCCUAAAACCUUCAAAAAGACAAGACAGGACCAAAAGGUUGAGCGGAAAAGGUCUCUGUCCUAUAAAGCAAAUUCUUGGGUUGCUCAAGAGAGGGGGCAGAUGUAAGUACUCAAAGAGCGAAGCUGCCUGGGGCUUUCCCUCGGAGCAGCAGUUUAUAUUCAUCGUUCCCAGGUUACUUAAAGGACAGAAAGUUGGUAAAUACAUUUAGAUAUUCUUUAAAAGAUGUUUGGAAGAAAAAGACUUUUGUACGCUAGGACUCAUCUAGAAAGUUAUUUGUGUCCAGCCAUCCUUCCUUCACCGAUAAUACCAGAUAACAUGAGCUGGUUCUGUGUCUUUGUAACUCUUGCUAUUUUGCCAAUGCGCUGAUCUCCCCCUUCCCCCGACCCCUACCCCAGCCAAACCAAGAAUUUUCAGUGAUUCCUGCUGGUGGUCGAUAAAACAACACAGGAGUCAAGGAAAUGAUUUGUUUUUAAGACUUUUUUUUUUUUUGGUUUGUUUUUAAAGAAACUGCAUACAUCAUUAGAGACAAACAAUAAUUUAAAUACCAUGCAGUUUCUGUAUGUACAAAACCUAGGCCGUAGAGAUCCAGUUUAAUUUGUGUUCUGUUCACACUGUCUUCCUCGUACAGCCGCCGGCUGUUAAAGCAGCACACAGGACAGUGCUCUGAUACAAAGACAAACUAUGUACAGACACCCGGGAAGCAACUGGAGAAAAGCAACCGGUUUGGGGAUCGACAGACAAAUGGGAAGAAAAAGUUGUUUAAGGUGACCUUCACCCACUGGCUGUGCACAGGGAGAGCCUGAAAUUCCAUUCACCGAAGCGCACACCAUGAUUUUCAUUCGGCAAAUAUAAAUACACGUUCAUAAGCAGGAGAAAAAUAAGCUCGGGGGUUUUCAUCACAUCAACCGUCACGUCGUUUGGUUUCUCUAAUCUGACAUAAAGGCUCAAGUUUUACGGAGCUUUGAGGGCCUUUGGGAAGGAAAAUAUCAGCAAUUUCGAAACAGCAGGAAGGAGCCGACGUGGCAUUCCCUCUUCUUGGCUGGAGCUCCCCUUCCUUAAGGCAGUAAAACCACAUGGUCUAAGAGAGACCAAUGGGAAUCUCUUCUAUGCCAUGGAAGGAACUCUAUGGUCUGAGUCCUCCAGACUUAGCCCUUGAUACGGGACCAGAAGACAAUACCAGCAAUUGGCCCUUACCCUCCAGUUCCUCAUGGUGCCUGGAUUAAGAAUCACAAAGGAUCCCCAAGCAGAGGUCCCCUUAGAUGCGUGUGUGGAUGAACGGCGCUGCCUUGUGCCUUCUCCAGAGCGGGGGAGAACCAGCUCAGCGCCCUCUCCGCACACUGUCUGGAGCCCUUGGGCAAAGGUGCCGGGAGCAGCGCCACAGCCUGCCUGGCAGCCACUCGGCCUCCAGUACCGAGCCGGGC